AGUUUUCUUCGGGGCAGGGUGAAAUUCCCUACCGGCGGUUACAGUCCGCGACUCCCUUUUUUUGAAGGGACUGAUCUGGUGAAAUUCCGGAACCGACAGUUAAAGUCUGGAUGGGAGAAGAAAAUG
rnacentral:ncRNA from 2 species